UACGGAGGGUGCAAGCGUUAUCCGGAUUCACUGGGCUUAAAGGGUGUGUAGGCGGGCAUUUAAGUCAGGGGUGAAAUCUCUGAGCUCAACUCAGAAACUGCCAUUGAUACUAUUUAUCUUGAAUAUCGUUGAGGUUGGCGGAAUAUAUCAUGUAGCGGUGAAAUGCAUAGAUAUGAUAUAGAACACCGAUUGCGAAGGCAGCUAACUAAGCGAUGAUUGACGCUGAGGCACGAAAGCGUGGGGAUCAAACAGG
rnacentral:rRNA from 1 species